GACGAACGCUGGCGGCGUGCUUAACACAUGCAAGUCGAACGGAAAGGCCCUGCUUGCAGGGUACUCGAGUGGCGAACGGGUGAGUAACACGUGGGUGAUCUGCCCUGCACUUCGGGAUAAGCCUGGGAAACUGGGUCUAAUACCGGAUAGGAGCCAUUUUGAGUGUGAUGGUUGGAAAGUUUUUUCGGUGUAGGAUGAGCUCGCGGCCUAUCAGCUUGUUGGUGGGGUAAUGGCCUACCAAGGCGGCGACGGGUAGCCGGCCUGGGGGGGUGGACGGCCACAUUGGGACUUGGGUACGGCCCAGACUCCUACGGGAGGCAGCAGUGGGGAAUAUUGCACAAUGGGCGCGAGCCUGAUGCAGCGACACCGCGUGGGGGAUGACGGCCUUCGGGUUGGAAACUCGUUUCGCUAGGGACGAAGCUUUUUGUGACGGUACCUAGAUAAGAAGCACCGGCUAACUACGUG
rnacentral:rRNA from 1 species